UAAUCCUAGGUCGUACUGGCAGGGCGGGACGCACAGGGAGAGCUGUCACCUUCUUCACCGAGGAUGACAAGCCUCUUCUACGCAGUAUUGCCAAUGUGAUCAAACAGGCCGGUUGUCCUGUCCCUGGCUACAUGGUAGGCUUUAAAAAGAUACACAGUAAGGUAAAACGGCAGCUCCAGAAGAAACCGCCGAAGAGGAGCACCAUCCGGUACCACGCCUCAAUUUGUACUGAAGAAGGGAAGAGGAGGAGAGA